rnacentral:tRNA from 5 species
GCGCCUGUAGCUCAGCUGGAUAGAGCAACGGAUUUCUAAUCCGUCGGUCGGGCGUUCGAAUCGCCCCAGGCGUGCUA